rnacentral:rRNA from 1 species
AACGACUCUCGGCAACGGAUAUCUCGGCUCUCGCAUCGAUGAAGAACGUAGCGAAAUGCGAUACUUGGUGUGAAUUGCAGAAUCCCGUGAACCAUCGAGUCUUUGAACGCAAGUUGCGCCCGAAGCCCCCGGGCCGAGGGCACGUCUGCCUGGGUGUCACGCAACGUCGCCCCCCACCAACUCCUGCCCCGAACACGAUUGGGCGGCGGAGGAGGGAGCGGAGUAUGGCCUCCCGUUGGCGCAGCCCGCGGUUGGUUGAAAUACGAGUUCCCGGCGCAACGCGUCGCGGCGAUCGGUGGUUGAAAGGCCCCUAAACACCGCCGCGCACCGUGCGAUCCGGACCCUCAAGACCCCGAAGCGUCCGUACGUGGACGCCCCCAUACGCGACCCCAGGUCAGGCGGGACCACCCGCUGAGUUUAAGCAUAUCAAUAAGCGGAGGAAAAGAAACUUACCAGGAUUCCCUUAGUAACGGCGAGCGAACCGGGAAGAGCCC